UACGAAGGGGGCUAGCGUUGUUCGGAAUUACUGGGCGUAAAGCGCGCGCAGGCGGUCUUCCAAGUCAGUGGUGAAAGCCCGGAGCUAAACUCCGGAAUUGCCAUUGAAACUGUGAGACUGGAGUACGAGAGAGGUGAGUGGAAUUCCCAGUGUAGAGGUGAAAUUCGUAGAUAUUGGGAAGAACACCGGUGGCGAAGGCGGCUCACUGGCUCGUAACUGACGCUCAGGCGCGACAGCGUGGGGAUCAAACAGG
rnacentral:rRNA from 1 species